GCCAGAGUGGCUCAGUUGGUUAAGUGUCCGACUUCAGCUCAGGUCAUGAUCUUGCGGUUUGUGGGUUCAAGCCCCAUAUCAGGCU
rnacentral:tRNA from 1 species